rnacentral:lncRNA from 1 species
AAUAAUAUAGCUCGUAUUAGCAGUACUGUUAUAAUUUUAUUUUGUAUGUCGUGAAUUUAUUUGUCUUGACAACAGAAAGUCUUGGGACUAGCUGGAAAGUGGACUUCAGCUGAGUAGCACUAGAGCUAAAUUAGAUGACCCUGAAAAGAGAAAUAACUAUGAAAGGAGUAGAACAGCGAGUUGGCAACAGAUCUGCUGUGAAAGUUGUGAUACUUUAAAGGACAAAUAUUCUGCUGUGCUUUUCAAAACUUCAAAACAGCACUCUUUCCUUGUCUCCCUAGAGUCAUCUGAAGCUUGCCACGAUGCAGACCUAGAGCUGAAUUUUGCCUGGAAUUUAGGUUCCAGCCUAUAUUCAAAGUAUGGUAUGCAUAUACCCAGUUGUUCCCUA